CACGUAGUUAGCCGGAGCUUAUUCUACAGGUACUGUCUUUUUUCUUCCCUGUCUAAAGCAGUUUACAAUCCGAAAACCUUCUUCCUGCACGCGGCGUCACUGCGUCAGAGUUCCCUCCAUUGCGCAAUAUUCCCGACUGCUGCCUCCCGUAGGAGUCUGGGCCGUAUCUCAGUCCCAAUGUGGCCGUUCAACCUCUCAGUCCGGCUACUGAUCGUCGACUUGGUAGGCCGUUACCCCACCAACUAUCUAAUCAGACGCAAGCCCAUCUAUCAGCGGAUUACUCCUUUCCCUAUUGUACCAUGUGGUACUUAGGCAUAUGCGGUAUUAGCAGUCAUUUCUAACUGUUGUUCCCCUCUGAUAGGCAGGUUGCUUACGUGUUACUCACCAGUCCGCCACUAAAGCCAUUGUGUAAGUCAAUUUUCACUUUCUUCGAACAAGUUCUCUGUCCAUGUCAACAUCAUUACAACGACUUCCGUUCGACUUGCAUGUCUUAUGUGC
rnacentral:rRNA from 1 species